rnacentral:sRNA from 1 species
GCCUCUUUCCUGAAGAUUGCUGGGAGCUUCUGAAGCUUUGCGUCCUGUGUGGCUCAGAGGAGAUAGCAAUUCCGCAGAGUCCCGGAAGUUAAAGAAGGCUGAGUUAGGAUUGUUUCUUCAUGGUCAGGGAAACAGCCUUCACAUUUGUAUAUUUUAUGCAAUAUUUAGGGCAGGAUUCAGGGGCUUGGGAUUCUUUGGGAUUUGCAAUAAGAAUAAUAUUCAAUAUUUAGGCUUUUCUAAAUUGAAAAAUCACUGCCACACGUUCUAAUGUAAUUGUUUGGUUUCUCUAUUUGCAUUUUGCGGGGACUGCCUUAAAACUCAUUUAUUGUUUUAUAGCCUUCUAUUAUAGUUACCAUUGUUACAUGAUUUUAUGUAUAGAAAUUGGCUGAUCUAGAGCUUUCAGAAAUCAUACUAAUAUGCACUAUAAAUUUUAAAAUUACUUAAUGUAGUAAUUUAAUGUUUGCAGUAUGCAAGGGAAUGUAUUACGUACUGGAAGGAGAGGGGAGACAAACACCAGACCCCAUACUCAAGGAGUACUGGUAGUAUCAUUUAUCAUACAAGACAGAUAAGAUAAGGUCCAUAUGAGAGCUAUCAACAGAUGCUGUGAGUUCAGACUAAGGAGAAUCAGUUCUUGCUGUAGGUAAGGGGAAUGCUGUGUUUAUAAAGCAAAUGACAUGGAAACUGGAUCUUGAAGGAUGAGUUAGUUUUCAAAAGGUACAUGGGAAAUACUCCUCAGAAAAAAGCUGUCUUUGGGCAGUGUCGGGGUCUGCCAUGUGUUGCACCGCUGCUGACCACAGUGGAAGAGGCUCCACGGGGCAUCUCUGCUCGAGUCUGGGGACAUUUUCCUAAGUGGCUCAAUGGCUCUCUACUUCGAACUGGACCUGGGAAAUUCGAGUUUGGGAAGGAUAAGUACAAUCAUUGGUUUGAUGGGAUGGCACUGCUUCACCAGUUCAGGAUGGCAAAGGGCACAGUGACAUACAGGAGCAAGUUUCUACAGAGUGAUACAUAUAAGGCCAACAGUGCUAAAAACCGAAUUGUGAUCUCAGAAUUUGGCACACUGGCUCUCCCGGAUCCAUGCAAGAAUGUUUUUGAACGUUUCAUGUCCAGGUUUGAGCUGCCUGGUAAAGCUGCAGGUGAUAGUGAUGAUUAUUUAAACUAUUAUGAUAUAUAACCAUCUAUACAAACAUAAAUCUUGAAAAUAGAUAUUUUGUGUAUGUGAGA